rnacentral:tRNA from 2 species
GGUUCCAUAGUGUAGUGGUUAUCACGUCUGCUUUACACGCAGAAGGUCCUGUGUUCGAUCCCCAGUGGAACCA